AGAGUUUGAUCCUGGCUCAGGACGAACGUUGGCGGCGCGCUUAAUGCAUGCAAGUCGAGGGAGAAGCGUUGGUUCCGUAAGGUUCCGACGUGGAAACCGGCGAACGGGUGCGUAACACGUGAGAAACCUGCCCCCCAGAUCGGGAUAGCCCAGGGAAACCUGGAUUAAUACCGAAUAUUCUCUUUGGCCCGCAUGGGCCGCUGAGGAAAUGGUCCGCCGCUGGGGGAUGGUCUCGCGGCCUAUCAGGUAGUUGGUGAGGUAACGGCUCACCAAGCCGAAGACGGGUAGCUGGUCUGAGAGGAUGAACAGCCACACUGGAACUGAGACACGGUCCAGACUCCUACGGGAGGCAGCAGUGGGGAAUCUUGCGCAAUGGGCGAAAGCCUGACGCAGCGACGCCGCGUGAGCGAUGAAGGCCUUCGGGUUGUAAAGCUCUGUGGGAAGGGAAGAAUAAGGGCAGGUUAAUAUCCUGUCUGAUGACGGUACCUUCUUAGCAAGCACCGGCUAACUCUGUGCCAGCAGCCGCGGUAAGACAGAGGGUGCAAACGUUGUUCGGAAUUACUGGGCGUAAAGCGCGUGUAGGCGGCUAUGCAAGUCAGGUGUGAAAGCCCACGGCUCAACCGUGGAAGAGCACUUGAAACUGCGUAGCUAGAGUCCUGGAGAGGAAAGUGGAAUACUCGGUGUAGAGGUGAAAUUCGUAGAUGUCGAGUGGAACACCUGUGGCGAAGGCGGCUUUCUGGACAGUGACUGACGCUGAGACGCGAAAGCGUGGGGAGCAAACGGGAUUAGAUACCCCGGUAGUCCACGCCGUAAACGAUGUCAACUAGCCGUUGGGGGUCUUAGUACCUUUAGUGGCGCAGCUAACGCAUUAAGUUGACCGCCUGGGGAGUACGGUCGCAAGACUAAAACUCAAAGGAAUUGACGG
rnacentral:rRNA from 1 species